CACGUUCAGUACUGACUUUCAACGUCAGAGCCGAGUUCACCUUUUCUGUUUAAUGAGAACUGCUUUACCAUCAGGAGACCUUUUGAUGCUGCUGCAGUGCUGUUGUUUAAGGUGCAGCAGCGCCACCAGAAGAAGAACCGGUGCACCAAGCAACUACACCAGGACCCAAGAAAAACUCUCACUAUAAAAAGGACCAUUUAGAAGUGAUAACAAAGUCCUGUUAUCUAUGGAGUUUAGUACAAUGAGGAUACAUUUCUAUCUUACUGGAGUGUUUCCAUUUCAUAACACGUUGGACUCUGCUUCAUACAUUUCAGAGUACCCUCGGCCUGAUGGAGGACAAAGAUUGAGAUGCCAAGUCAGAUAAGGAUCAUCCAAUCAUGGGCAGUGACUAAAGAACCAAGUAAAUGCUUUUAAUAGUAGCACAAAUGUAUUAAAACUCAAAUGUAUUAAGAAUUGUUCUGCAAGAAUUCAAGGUAACACGGAUCAGUACUGCUCACUUUGUGGUUGAACUAUUCCUUUUAGCCCUUGUCUGACAUGCAAUUCAAAACAUACUGGCUUCAUCCAUCUGUUUAAACGAUGUCUCUGUUAUUCAGCAACAGGUGACUUUUAAGUGACUGUUCCUCACGGCUUCAACCAGACAUGACAGCACAUUUACCGGUGCGCAAG